AGAUAUCCUUAGGUAAAACCCAGCCUGCUCAUAAAAGCUAAGACUGCCUCCUCGUAAGCAUAGACGCCACUCACUGUUACGUGUGCUGUUUAAGUGCAUUCUGUUGCCUUAACACUAGCAGGGGGUUCUGCCAUCUCUGUUUCCUCUCUUUCUUUUUGAACAGUCUUGUUUUUUCAAGCUGAAAGGUUAGUUUUCUUUUAGAAUAUUCCUUUUAUAAGUUUACAUAUAGAUCAAUCCUAUGAAGUAUGAACUUUGUGGGCUCCUGAAUUUAAUUGCCUAUCCAGUAUUGCCUGGCCAGUCCUAUAGAAUUCUUUAUGAGGCCAAUGCUUCUGGCCAGAGGGUCAGUGGGGCAGCAUAGCUCCUGCUGAGUGUCUGAUGCCUCUGCUCUUUUCACACCACCCAAUACUGAACUCUGUAUUUUACUCUGUCACAGAAUUGAGAUUUUAUAGAAUAUUGUUGAUUGGACAGAUGUGACUGGGGGGGGGGGGGCAACCUUAUUUGUGGAGGAGGGACCAUUGGCAUUAAAAGAUUCUCCACACCAAAUCCUUCAGAUUUCAGGCUAAUUAACUAUUAAGAUGUUCAGUGUUUUAAUUUUGUUCAUGCUUUAAAAAUCGCAAAGGCUAAUUUAUUAUAGUUUUUUAAUUUGGUUGCUAUUAUUUUAAUAAUUAAAUUUAUUUACCAUAAAUUAAUAGCAGCCAAUUGUUUCCGGGGUGAAAGUUUUAAGAUAGAAAUGGAUAAAUUAAUUUUAAGACUCAUAUGUUAGGCUUAUUUCCCUCUUUCACUCAUUCUUUCUUUCUUCCUUUCUUAUUUUCUUUCUGUUUCUUAUGUUUGUCUGCUUUUUUCUGAUGAUUCCAGGCUGGCCUUGAACUUGGGAUCUCUUGCUUUACCUCUGGGACAGUGGACUAUUGACAUGUGUCCCCUGCCAGGCUUACUUUAAGUUUCUAAGUAGGAAUCCCAGUUUGAGCCACUAGUUCUUGCCUGCUGCUUUUAGUAUGUAUAGGACCUGGGAUUCUUAAAGAUCAUUGCCAGAUGUAUAAAUAUAAUUAAAUAAAAAUAUAGUAAAAGCCAGAAGGAUACAAAUAGCAAGCCCUACUCUCUCCAAUGUACAAUAAAUACUGCUUUCCUUUUAAGAAUAGAUAACUAUUUUGUACAUAUAAUAAAUGAUGAGGAAUUAAAAACUUAUAGUAUUUUAUAAUAUAUAUGCUUUUCUGUGCUGUUUCAACAGAGAGGGAUAUAAACGUAUAAAAUCAUCACAUACUUUGAUGCCACGUAGAGAAGGAUGUCAAAGGAAAGAGUUCUUUUUGUCUUUCUCACCUCCAUCUUCAGGGCUUGAGAGUUAGGUGUUUAUUUAACUUAAAAUGCUGCUUGUCUGUUUCUAUAAAACUCUUGGCCACACAUGAGUGAGCUCCAUCGAUGCUGAGAUGAAGAAUUUCUGGAUUCCUGCCUCAGUGGAGACCUCUGAUCAUAGUUGUUGGAUGUGAUAACUGGAUUGUUCUGGCCGCUGGAAAGCCCUACAAGCCCAGACCUUUUCCUGGAUCAAGGCCUCGCUAGACUCCUUGACUUCUUGUCUCAUAUUUCCGUGGGCUGACUUGGUUCCUAAGAGUUUUUAUUGCCCAGUAUCCUCCCAGUGUCCAUCCUCAUUGGCCUUGUGAAUCCUGGUUGGGUCCAACCUGACUGGGCAAUGCUGAAAUCUGUCCACUGUAGCACUCCUCAGAGCCCCAUGUUAGUUAGUUGGGUGUACGCUCAUGGCCAUCUCAUGGGUGGACAUCAUGUCAACCCCUCAACCUGUAAUGAGUGUUUGGAAAUAACGGUGUUUCAAAGUGAGCAUCUUGAUAUCUCUAUGAGGCACUCUGCAAUCUCUGACGCCUAGCAUCUGUACCCCCCCCCCCACCCACUCAAAAGAUUUGAGCCAAGACCAAGCCAUGGCCUUUAAAGCACAGGCCAGAGAAGACUAUGGAUGCUUCCUGGAGACAAUGCUACAGUAAUUGGUAGUGCUCGGAGUGUUUUCCGAAGACAGAGCCCAGAGGCAGGAGAGAUAGCUUUACAGUUCAAGGUGGAUCCUGUCUUUCUCCUUUGGAAUAAAAUCUAGAUGAAUAAUUUAUCCUUGAAUUAUGGUGGAGAGGGAUUGUCUUACUAUUACACAGCCCAUGAGUCACUACUGUUUGCCCCAACCAUCAUCUUAAUAAGGUGACAGAAAUAACAUUAAUUAUGGAAAAUAUUGUGUCAUGGUCUUGGGUUGUGUAGUCACACACGCACAUGGACAUGCAAACUUAGAAUCCCAAAUGGGAGAAAGAAAGGGGAAGGGUGGGUGGAAGGGAGAGAGUGGGUGUUUCUUUUUCAGAUCCAGUGAAGAAGGAAAGGGAGGAGGGGGCAUGUCCACAGGGAUGUGCUCUGAACUUUUCCUCAGCACGACAGACUUCCAAAGUAAGCAUGGUACUUCUUUAGUCCCAAGCAGGACUAGAACCUCCCUCCAUGAGUUUGGACAGUUUAUGCUCAGCAAGGACAAACUAGUUGCUAUGAUCUCAAGGGCAAUAAAAAGAAGGUUGUCAAUCUAUAAGAACAUUUGAAGAAUGUGUGUGAGUUCAUGUUUGUGAGUAUGAAUAUGGUCAUGACACACACAUGCAAGUUAGAGGUUAACAGUGGGUGUAUGUCUUUAUCUUUCAGCUUGUUUGAGAUGGGACCACCUGUUAUUUGUUAGUAUGUAUACAAGGUUAGCUGGUUCACAAACUACGGGAUAUUCUCCUGACUUUAUCUCCCAUCUCAACAUAAGAGUUCUGGUAUUAUAGAUGUGUGUUUUAUCACUGGAUUUUAUAUGGAUUCUGAAGAUUCAAACUUAGUUCCUCAUGCUUGCACAGCAAGGACUUCAGCCAUUGUGCCAUCUCCCCAGUCCUUAAAAAAAAGUUAUAAAGUUCAAACAUAUAAUCUAGACUUAAUAUUUUGGGGCAAAACAAAGCAAGUGCUAUCUAUUUUAGAAAAUGAAGUUAUGGAGUUAAUUAUUCCAAUUUAGUCUCAGUGUGUGUACUAGCUAGGGUCUUUGUUUCUCUUUCACCUUUUCCACAGAAGGUGACAUGCAGAGACUGUGGAGAUGGACAGCCAGUGCUCUGGAAUGGACUUCUUAGGGUCCCCUGUCCUCUGGUGUUGCUAAGACGUGUGCAUUGUAUGUAUCUCUGUCUCCAGGCAGACAGAACUCAGUGGCCCCAUCACCCAUACAUUGCAACUUCCAAAACAUUUCUGGGCUCUUCCACGAUGAUUUGGUGGGUCAGAAAUGUAUGUGCCAGUAGUGACACAUGAAGGUUGAUGCUGUGGGGAAGUGCGGGAGGCAACUUUGGUCCUCUGCUUGCUGUGACUCACACUGAGUCAGGUGUCCUUCUGCAAGCAAUGAUUAAAAGUAGUUUAAAAGCCACGAGUUGAUAGGGUGUCAUGUCUGCUCCAUUGAUUAUCAGACUAACAAGUAGGGAUCUUUCUUCUUCUGUUCUUCCAGACUUGUGUGUUAGAAGUUCAAUGAG
rnacentral:lncRNA from 1 species